UCAUACAGUCUGAGCAAUAAGCUCAUUUCUGACUGCCUCUCACUCACUAAUUAGCUAUUUACAAUGAGUAAUCGUGAGUUGUGGCUGCAACUACUCAAAAAAUAAGGUCCUAACCACAGUGACCAAAGGCAGUAGCAUGUGGCAUUAUGGGGUUAGGGGCAGAGGAAAUGUCCCAGUUCCUGUGCUCUUUGGUAUCCCUCUAGUGGAUAUGAGGAGAAGGACGGGGUGGGGAAAGGGAGACCCGACCACAAACCAACGUGUUGUGAUUGAAGUCAGUGAAGGAGUGACCAGGGAGUCUCUGCCAACAUUGAUAUCAGACAGUCAGUCCCCAGAGCAGCUGCUUACUGCAGUGCAGCUCAGUGAACAUGCACGGCCUCAUGCUGGAUGAGUGCCUCUGCCCAUGAGAGGUUGGCUGGCUGUGGCAGGUUUCCCAUGAAAAACAAAAGGGUUCCCAUGAGCUGAAAACCUGUGUUGGCAGCAGUAAAGCUGCUUCUGUUGCCCAGAAGUUUUGAGCCAUAGUAGUGAUUGGAGAAACAAACAGCCUGGAAGAGAAAACUCAGAAGAAAUGUGUUAGUUCCUUCCACAAAUUAAAAGAAAAAAGAAACCCCAGCAUGCUUUGUCCAAUGACGAGUGCCACAGAGCUAAAGCUAUCACAGAGGGAAUUUUAGAGUCUUGCCUUUCAAAGAGAGAUGGGUGCACCCAAGAACAGUGGAGGUGGGGACAACAAAAUGAGCAACAUACGAUAGUACUGCUGGCAGUCAAAAGGUCACUUUGAAGAGCACAAAGAUUAUCUAUCAGCUAUCACAUGAUUAACAUGUGAGUGUAAGCAGUCUCACCAUGGGAAAUGAACACCACUGUGUGCGGAGGGUGCUUCUGCCACUCACUUUCAUGCUGAAUCGCCUUUUUGAUUAAUUCUGCUGACACAAAGAAAAGGCACAUGGAUUUUUUUUUUUUUUUUUUUUUUUUUUUUGCAAGACUUGUCAACAGAAAGUGCAAAUGAAAACCUGUCUGUCAAUUCUCCCCCUUGUCCCUGUCAGCUGCUGGCUCUUUGUUUUGGGUAAUUUGAUGUGACCAUUGCUUCAGUAAAGCAAUGUAAGUCCUGCUGAGAGGGUUUUCCAUUUCUGACAAGACAUAUUGUUCAACAUGUAAUCCUGAUUUUUACAUUUGUCAUGAGAAUAACCUGGUAACCUCUACUUUAAAAGUUCUGUGGCUGUCUAAAUCUAAAGUUUCUUUCUUGGGCUACAGAAAGAGCACUUUGUAGACCUUCCUCAAUAGACUCAUCUGUGCCUGAUUGAGAAAAAUAUUGCUGUUAUAUUUUCUCUCAAAAUAUAUGGCUUUGCCCCAGAACAAAAUAUUCCUGACAAUAGAAAGCCCAGCUGCCUCUAGUGCCUUUCUCUGUAAAUGCCAUUACCAUAGCAUAAAAAUUUAAAUUUUCUAAGCAUAAAAUCUUCACAAAAUCAGGGUCCUUAUCACAGUGGGACCUCCAUUAUCCUGGAGAAGAAACCAGUAUUUUCUAAGAUGAAAUUAAACUAAAAGAACAUACUGGCCAUAUAUAUAUGCCAGGACCAGAGUGCUUUUCCAGCACUCUGAAAUCAUCAAACUGCUGAUAAAGUUAACAUUUUGGCAUGUUUUCUUCAAGUAAUGUCCCCACUUAGCAUAACUGUCUAUGAUUAGCUUAGUACUUCAAGAAAAAUAAAAAGUUUAACUGAAACUUUGGGCAAUGGUAACACCAUACAAGAAAUAAUAUAUUUUGAUCAAUCUCUGACACAAUGGAAUUUUUCCUUCUCUUUUUUUCCCAUUAGGAUGACUUUAUUUCAGUCUUCAGACAAGCUGAAAGACAGGAUAAAUGGUCUGUCCAUAGUGAAUUGUGGAAUGCUAGUCCUCUUCCUUACAGGCACAGACACCAUUGCAGAUCUGUGUUUUUAUUUUGUUUGGAGGCAUUGGCUCAACCACACUCAGUGCAAGAAAGUUCUGUAAGACUUCCUUAUAGGAAGGUACUGGAUAUUUUAAUGUACUUUACCAAAAUGUAGGAGUCACAGAGUGAAGCAUGGGGUUUGCUUGACUGUGACAGUAGAGAUCCCACUGCCAGCCUCUUACAAUCUGUGUUUGACCUGUCCUCUCUAACAACAGAUUAUUUCUUGAUAUAACUUACACUGAUUCACUUGUAGUUCUCAGAUAAUUCACAUAGCUUCCUGUUACUUAUAAAGAGGUGUGUGUUCACUUUAGUCUGGGGUUUAUUUUUGCCAGGCAAUGGAAUGAUGAGAUGCUGAAUGAAGGUUGUAGACUGGUGAUGGAGGAAAUUUUUAUCCCUCUACCGAGCUUUGGGUAGAAAAGUAGCAUAUAGAUGAAUUUUGCUUGUCUGCUUUCUUUUCAGAUUCUGUCUGGAACUGUUAAAAUGAGUAUUUUGCCCUUCUAACUUUUCAUUCUUAAGCCUCUACUAAUUGUAACAUGAAGCUGCUGAAACAUUUGGUGUUCGGCAAUCUUUUAUAUUUUUAUGAUUUCCUGGUAUUUCAGGGUGCAGAUGCACUCCUUGCCCUCAAGGUUUUGUGUAGAUCAGGCUGUCCUGACACAGCUCAAACAGAGACACAGCUUCCAGAGAUGCAAGAGCUCAGCAGAAUUUAGUUAAACUGUCCAGUGGGCCUCAGGACAAAUAAAUGAAAUAACUACUGCAGCAUCUCUGUGAUUAUUCAAGCCUGAAAGAUCUACUUACAAAGCUACAGUAUGAAAAGGAGAUGUGAUUGGCAUGUGAAAGUUUGUUCAUUGGCAGACUUCACUUAAAAAGUUUUUGAUUUCAUAAUGAAUUUUUUACUCUUUUUUUUGUUCUUUUUUUUUUUUUUUUUUUUUUUUGUUGCGAAACUUAAAAACUUCUAAAAUCAAAUUUUUGCUGCUUCUUAACAGUUUGCACUAAAAACUUCCAGCAUCAGCCAAAAAUUUGUUUUUUGUCCUGUAAGAGAUAUGUUCUACAGCAUACUCUUUAUUCAGUAAAAGCCCAACCAAAACAUAAAUGUUGGAAGAUUUUCAUGGUCCCUGAUAAUAGUCUGUUUCAAGUUAAUGUGAACUAUCAGCAGUUCAAUAACAAAGUGCACCAAAGAUGUGUUUUAAUUAAGUCUGAAAUGCUUUCACUUACAAGCUGACUUUGAAAUAAUAAGAGGGGAUUGAUGAUGAGAAUUGAAAUAGCAAAAAGAUGGAUUAAACAAUUUUUCAGUCUAGUCAACACUGGCCAGAAUAGUAAUUUACCAGUCUCUUUAGCAAGAUGAGCAAGAAGGAAUUAGAAUGAUUCCUAACUGUAUUCCUGACUUCAGAUGCAUUUUUCUCUGAAGUAAACAGUGAGAAAUAUGAUUAUUUGAAGCAGUGGUGAUGCUGAAGUCUGCAAAGAUGUGGCUUGCUUCACUUUUUUGGGCUCAUCCACCUCAAUUCUGUCAAUCUUCUCCGUAUAGGUUCUGACCUCUGAUUUUUUUUCUGCUCUGCUUUUUAAUAUUUCAAACUGUUCCCAAGCAAAUAUCAUGUCACCCUUUAGUGGCUUCAGUUCUGAUUCCUAUUACUCCUGCAUAAACAUGUGUUUCAGGAAUAACCACCAGGCCAAUAUUGUCACACUCAAGGAUGGCAUAAAGUUGAGGGUAAAGCAGAGAAUUUGCAGAAUUAACUUGUAUUUUUAAAGAGAUUUUCCUGUCUUUAAUGAAAAUGGUACAAAAGUGCGUAGAAAUGGAUAGAAAAAGUUACUGGUGGUAAGAGGUUAAAAACACGAAUAGGAAAAUUGUAUUUUCCCUCCUAGAGUGAUUCAGAAGAAGACAUAAUCCUGCUAUAGCAGAAGAGAUGUAACCUCCUAAAGAAGGAAAAAGCAUGAGAUGUUAAAUUGAUACUGAUGGAAUAACCUUCUCCUGAUAAACACAGGUCUAUAAAUAGAGGAGGUGUAAGCCUGAGAUUCAAAUAAACAAAAAAAAAGAAGGUAUUUUUCUUCUGUGACAAAACUCUUUCUCUGCUUUGUAUACACAUAUAUAGUCAAAUAUAAAUUCCCUUGCAGUUCGUUUGAAACCCAGUUUAUUUUUCUUCUAAUUAUAUACAAGGUGAAUUGCACAUGGGAGGGCAGGAAUAUUUUUGCAUAGAAACAAAUAGGGUGGUUGUUAUUCCUAGAGUGGAAGAUAAAGAAGUGGCUGUGUAUGUGUCAAUUCAGAAUGCACCAGAUGCACAGGUAAAACAAAGUAUUAAUGGUGGGUUCAAUGCACAUGUAGACCAUUCACUUAAGAGUUGGACUCGAUGAUCCUUGUGGAUCCCUUCCAACUCACUCUCUGAUUUUGUCAUACUUGCUUCUUACCUUUCUAAAUAACCUUAAAGCUGAACUACAUGACCAGGAGUUGCUUUCAGCCUUCCUGUUUCUCUUGAAACCCCUAAUGGUGUUCCCAAUCCAGAUUAAUUUAUCUGAAUCUUUUUAUGAAAAUAAGUGUCCUGACUGCUGCUGCUGAAGCAGAAUGGAACAGCAGGUCUUGUGCCAUUGGUAUUACACAAGGCAGUACAGACACAAAUGAGCAGUGUUACUAUGGGAUGAACUAAGGGGAUCUUAGAUAGAUAAUGCGACUGUAAUCUUCUUGUUGAGAAAAGACUAAUUCUGUCUUAGAUAUAUUGGUCAAAUCCUCCUAAAAUUAGUGACAAUCAAUACAAUCCUGGACAAUCAUUUACAUUGCAGUAAUGAGUGUCUUCUCCUUGAGAAAGUGUAUUUCAGGCAGGUUGCAUUGCUUAUAUGAGUAGUGACAUUGAUGAUGAUGGGGUCAGAAUCAUGUGUAAAUAAUGAUAAAUUAAUAUGGAAAUCAUAAUAACAUAUUAAUAGUAUGAAGUUUUGGGGGGAAAAAAGCUAACAGUUCCCAACAUUAGAGUUGGAUUGUAGGCCUGUAGCAAACAGUUUCAAAAAAUAUAUGUUAAUUUCUACAUAUUUAGUAUUAGCCUUUGCAGUUCAUCACUGGCUUGCAUUUUUUAAGCUUCUCUUUUUUGUCAGCCUGAUAAGUUAAACCUCUAUUUACAUCUUUGGAAGCACUGUCAGAGGAGGUAUUUUCAAAAUGCAAUGUCAGUAUUUUAAGGACACUGACUGUGUGCUGUAAACAAUCCCUCAGUUCCAUCUGGCUUGCUGUUUUAGUGCAUGCUUUAUCUCCAGCUGCAGAUGCAACAUGCAGUUCUGUAUAGGGAUUAUCAUAUCUGGCAUCAGAUAAUCAAAAUAGUUUACAGAGCUGAUUUUACAUUUCCAAUAUCCUUUUAAAGGCUAGAUUGUGCUGUCAUUGGCAUUUUUAGUUGUUUGAAAUUUUUGUUUGUUUGUUCCUAUAGCAACUCUAUUUUUCUGCCCUUGAGUCUUAAACCUGAGAGCUUUUAAUACAUAGUUAGUCAUAGAAAAUAGGCAUUUUUUAAUAUGUAUUUUGAUAGGUAAAAUUCUGGAUGUUCACUUUUGCAGGAAUUGGUGGCUUCAGCUUUAAACCUCCAGUCCAAAAAAAUGAUGUGUGCCGUGUGGAACGUGUUGGUGGAGCAUUUGGGGGGAAGGUACUAAACCAUCACUAUUUGUUGUAAUUGCAGUUUUGGCAGCCAACAAUGAAUCUUGGAUAGAGGCGUGAAAAUUCUCUGGCCUCUUGGCAACGGUAUUCACUUACUGUCUGAAAGCCAGAACAAAUGCAUGGAGGCAGUUUCCCUCUGGUCUGAUCUGUAUAAAUCCCAACAAUCAGGCCUCUCUGAGGCAUGGUGGCCUGAAUUUCACUCCAGAUAUUCAGUGAAAAUGGUUUUUAUCCUAACACAUAGGUAUGCUCACAGCCCUUUGUGCCACAGCUCUCCUGUACUUUGGCUUCCUUGCCUUUCCCUGUCCUGUCCAUUCUUCAGGGAGCUUGCAUCUCCCUGUUGAGAAGCUAAAGAGAAGACCACUUACUGCUCAUUUCCUCUACUUUGUUACUGUUGCCAAAAAAAACCAAAACCAACAAAAACCCAAGAAAAACUUGCUGAAUCAGCCUAACCUCAGGCAUGGUAGGUUAAUAAGAAACUAAAACUUAGAAUGGGCUGAUUAUUGCCACCACUAGGAGUUUGGCCAUGUACACAUAAUGUCACUUGUAAUCUGCAUCAAGAGGCUGUAAUAAAAGGGGGUUUUUCUAAUGUUCCUUUUAGGAGUCGGUGUCCAUUUUGUCCUGAAAAGAAAUAUAGAUGUGUUAUUCACUGGUGGACAGCACCCUGCCUUUGGAAAAUAAAAAGUGACAUGAGAAGAUGUAACCCACAACUAGUGGACUGCCCUUUUAUUCAAAUUUCAUCCAGAGUUACUGAAGUUAUUUGGAUAACCACCGGUGUGCUUUGCCUCUGCUUUCUUCAAAAUGAGGAUGGUAAGAAAAUGCACCCUCACCCUUGAGUUCUCAGUGUCUUUCCAGAGUAAUGCCUUCAAUUCAAUCUGCUCUUCCCAUGUCUUGCACUUCCCUCACUCCAAGGGCUGGCAGGACAGAGCAGUAGCCUGCUGGAGAGUACUUAUUUUUGUAGAAAGAGGCAGGAGCCAGCUUCCCUCCCCAUAUCAGUCCCAGCCAACUAUGAUUACACAAGUGUUUCUGCAGAAAGCAGGGCAAGAUGGCAAUGAUGACAUUAUUUCCUGACAAUAGCCACUUCACAGGUUUUCCAUUGCACUCAUCCUUUGGCACUGUAAAAGGAGAUACAUCUGGAGUUGCUUAAUACCUUGUCACUGGGCCCAAAUUUCUGUUUAUUUAUAAGUUAAAUAGGAAAAAAAAAGAAUAAAAAUUUAAGGUAGUAAAGCACAGGAGCAAUUAUGCAAUCAAGAACAUGAUUUUACCAGCUAUUCUCCCAUCAAUGCAUAUCCAGUCAGCAGGCAAACUAAAAAAACACUUUGGGAGACUGGAAAAUAGGAAACAUCUGAUGAAAUUAUGUCAAGGUCCAUUAAUUAAAGCUUUCAAUUUAAAAAGCCCCAUGGGCCUGAGUUUGAACAAAUCUGUUGUGCUCUGGACUAAAAAUUUCUCUAUGAAAAGGGACACAAAUUAUGUCAGGCAGACCUGCAGGCCCCUCUCUUCCAAUAGCAGCCAGGUAGGGACCCCUACCUCAGCCUGCCUGGAGAGUAGGGCUGGGAAUUCUGCAUCCAUCCACCUCUGCUUCCUUCUGUGCAGGAUAUCCAGCAGUCAAAGUGUUUCUCAGUGAUAGAACUUCUCAUAUUCGUAGAAGUUAUAACCAAGAUGGGCUAAGUGUUGUACAAAAGCUUGGUAACAACUUAGAACAUAAAUAAAGAUGAAUUUGUUAUCCAGCCACCAGGAGAUGAUAUACUAUCUCCAGGAAUGUAUUCAGAACUGUAGGCUUUCUUUGCAAACAUCACAGCCCCCAUGAUUCAAUGCAGUCUCAUUAAACUGUAUUGCAUAGUGGAACCUUGUAUUUCAGCUCCUGUAAUCUGAGCCUUUCAGGCUGGGAACUCACCUGUGCUGUGGAGAUGUGACCUUAAUUACCUGUUCCAUUACAAGAAUGCCACUGUUCACUAGAGGUAAGUUCGUUGAUUUCCCAACCUUUUAUAACUUGAGAAAAUUGAGAUAUGUGUGUGCAAUGACAUUUGCACGGCUGAUAAGGAACAUACAUUUAUGAAUUACAAUAAGUUUGUUUUCCCCUUAGCAAAAUUAUUUUUUAUAUUUUAUUUCGGUUUCCUAAAGGCAAACCUGGAACCUGUAAGCCACGGGCCAUUGAUAUAGAUUAGUACUGCUUUCCUAAGAGUCAGACAACCAGAUGACUCCUUCAGCCACUUACUGACUGCAGGCAUUCCUGCAAGAAAGAACUGUCAUACUUACACAUACAUACAUACAUAUAUAUAUAUGUGUGUGUAUAUGUAACCAUCUUGAUAGAACAAUAUAUAAGCACUAGUUCUCUUGUCCUGCCAAGUAAAAGACCCGUCAAUAAUGUGUUUUGUGCUGCACUGGAACAGUUCUGGAGUUACCUCAAGAACUCAAAAGAAUUUGCAUGCAAUUUUGAAAAUAUCUGCAACAAAGAGAAGAUCAGAAAUAGUACCAUUUUGUCACUCCUACAUCCAGUUUGAGAGUCACAACUGGUGUUAUCUAUUUUUUCUGUUUUUCCAGCAUAUGAAAAUCCCAAAGAUCAGAAUGAGACUGUACAAAUUAAUGAUGGGCAGUGUAUCCAUAUUUCAGUAAAACAGAGAUUCUAAAACUACAUACUGCCAAAUAUUUCUAGGCACAAUAUAUUACCAUCCCAGUUUAACUCUGCUUCCUGGCAGCCCCCUCAGGCUGCUCCACAUCAUCAGAUCUCUUUGAACCACUGUCAACUCUGGCCUCUUCCAGAGGAGGAAUAUAAUCGCUGCU